CUCAUCAAAGUAUUCAGUUACCCCUCUUGCCCUGUCAAUAGGGGCAUUGUCAUGCUGAAAGAGACCACUCCCAGGAUAAAGGUGAUCACUCAGAAUAUGGUGUAUUGAUUUGCAGUGACCUUUCCCUCUAAGGGGACAAGUGGACCCAAACCACGCCAGGAAAAUGCCCCAACAGCAUAACAGUGCCACUGGACCCCCUCACUGUAGGGGUCAAGCAUUCAGUGCCUCUAGCUCCCAGCUCCACCUAUCGAAGGAUGCAAGGAAAGGACUUGAGGAUGGUGGAAUUGAGGAAACAUGUUUAAAGCAAUUGCUCUUUCAACCGUCAGUUUGAAGCAACAUCAAUUACAAACAUGGCAGAUGAGAGGUGGAUACACAGGUCGAUCAUUAUACAUCACUCAUUAAAAAAAAAUAUUUCUGCAAAGGAUGAAUUCUUCGAGAGCCUCCUAACUCCUAGCUUCUUGAAGCGGCAUUUAACAGGUUGGAAUGUCUUCAUGAAUGGCCCACCUCAAUCAAUUUCCAGGUCAGUCAAGGACCUUGGAGACAAAGGACGAAUAAAAUAAACAAUUGGAAUGCAGCCACGUUGAUAACGCUUGAUUUAAGAUGUCAAUUUCAUGUAUUUUCUGACCCGUUUUGCCUUCCAUACUAGGAAAAGAGACUAGGAAAGGAAGCAAGGAUGUAAAAAAUAAGCAGUUCGAACCCAUGCUAAGUACCUGUACGUUUAACUGAAUGUACAUUUAAGACACUAAAUCCCUCUGUGGGAAGUUGUAUGCCUGUAUUUUUUAAUUAUUUACAAAUUCUACGCAAUAAGUUUGGACACAAAGGGAACUGGAAACUUUUGCAUGUGGGAAGUGGGAAAUACCAGUGCAGUAAAAAUAGAUGGGUGUUCUGCA